AAUCGAUAUUUUCAUAUAUACGGAAGCUUGUGACAUUAGAUUAGGGGGUCCUGAAACGCCUGUCGUCUGGUGGCAUGAACCUGACGGAAGUCUCGUCAAAAGUUCCUCGGGAAGCAGUAAAACCAACAGAACCAGAACCCCGCGUGAGCGCAGUUGUCGAUGCGAUUUCUGACCACUCGGAAGCGUUUCGCAACUGGUUUUGGGAAGCAGAAUUUCGCUUGAAAUUUAUUGUCAUUCUGAGCAUAAUUAUUGUUGUUAAUAGUAUCCUCAUAAAAAUUGCUUGGGCCAUUUACGGCGAAAGGAUUGUCGAUUUCUUUAAGAAACAAGGUGUAUCAGAGACAGGAUACACACAAGAUUCAGCUCCUGUAGACACAAAAGACAGCGUGAAUUCCACUCCUCGUUCUCAGCACUUGAAAAGAGAGUAACACAUUUUCAAGAAACAGAAAGUUAAUUGACCAUCAUGGCAGCUAUCAAACGAUUUUUUGAGAAGAAAAAACUAGAUGUCAAGUUCAAGAAGGCUGGUUCUGGCCACAAACUGACAGAGGACACCAGGAGCUUGUCACCACAGCCAAGUCAACGCCCUGGCACCAGUCAGGGGCGGCCUCAGGCUGAAAGCGAGGCUGCACGAGCUGCACGGGAGGCAGCUCUGGCUAGGAUGUCCCAGCCAAGACCAGGUACUGCAAAUAACCAGCUGAAGGCCCUGAAGUC